UCAUGUUCUGAUCAAUUUAAAUUUAAAAAUUCAAAGGAACAAAAUCUUUCACUUUUAAUUUUACUUGGAGAAUGACUGGAUUUAGAUGAGCGUGUACAAUUUUGUUUGUGAUUAGUGAGAAGACGAAGUAAACGAAGUGUUCCUUUUAUAAUCGUCUAUCCGGUACAAAGUUAGUACGCUUUUUAUAUCGAAGUUGGAUUUUUCUCCAGAUACAGAUCCAGAUACAGAUUUUCUCCCAACUUCGGAAGUAGUGCGCUGGAUUUGCCUAAAGAUGCGCUAAACAACACAUCAAUUAGUUUGACAGAUAAAAUUUCGGAAGAAAGUUCGGUUCGGAAGUCCCGACUUCCGAAUUCUAAGUUGAUGCUACGCCGACAAUACUGAUUCUGCGAGCAAGCAACGGCCGAUCAUUUCCCGCUGUACCGUGAAAUUGAAUUAAUGAUAAAACACUGCUGCAUGCCACCAUCCCUGAUGAUUCAAUAUCGUUCGGCGACUAUCAUCGAGCUAUAUCACCAACGGGAUACAAUAAAAAAUUAAACAGGAAAAAAAAUGCAAGCAGCAUUAGUUACAGCGGCUUCAGUGAGUAUAGCCGGUUGCAUCAUUGGCGACUGAAAUCUACGUUUAUGAAUCCCGGUCUGAAUAGCAGUUAAC